GUGCAAGGACAUUGUGGAUUACAAGAAAGUUUUAUGGUGAUAAAUAUAAAUAUUUAUAUUUAUCACCAUAAAACUUUCUUGUAAUCCACAAUGUCCU